rnacentral:lncRNA from 1 species
GUUCGACUGUCCAAAGCUUCACGUCGCUGGAACUCCCUCCUCCGGCCACCACAGCCGACGAUCCUUAGCUCGUUUUGUAGCCCUCCUCCCGUGCAGCAAUCCCUCCUAAGAGCUCACUCUCUCUUGAGCUAGGUAAGGAGAAAUGUGGAGUUGAAAUUUCUAGGGCUUUUAGGAUGUUUUUAGUCGAUUACCCUAGCUAGACUUGGAUUUUGGGUUUGUGCUAGUUAGGGAAGUUGUAGAGCAUGAUAAGAGGAUUAUGCUGUCAACUUUUCAUAGGUUUUGGAGGUCGCCGGAAUUGGCCUCCGGCCGCCGCUGCCGGUUGGGAGAUUUUUAAUGUUGUUAAAUUUGGAAUAUUAAGGGAAGUUUAUUGAAGUGAGUUAUGGAAUUUUUGGAUGAGUUUUGGAUAGGUUUAUGAAUUUCCGAAGUGUGGUAUUUUUGGCGGUUAAUUAAUGUAGAAUCCGGCCGUAAGAUUUAAGUCGUAUUUUUGGGGAGGUUGUAAUUACGGCUGCCGAGUAUGAUAUUUAAGUUCGAAUCGUUUCGAUUUAAGAAUAUCGAAGUUAGGCAAUGAUGAGCGUAUUUAUGGCUCUCGGGUAAUUUUGCCUAUUUUGACUAAAUAUUGGAUUGUUAGUUGGGAAAGUAAUAUUAUUUUUGGAUCAGGACGUGAGGAGGCUCGAGCAGACGAGGCCCCAGAUCGACGUCAGGCUUAGGCCUAAUUUUUGAAUGGACCUUUGUUUUAAAUAAAAUGCAUGCUAUAGUUCAUAGAUGAACAAUUAUUGUUGUGGAGCAUUUUGACGUCAUUUUAUUUUGACGAUUUUAUUUCUCUUGGAGAGUUACCGAAAAUGGGAUUUUCGGUGAAUAUAAAUAUGUAUUUAUGAGGAGAGUAUGUAUAAAAAUGCUAGCUAGCCCUAUGUGUCUGUCCACCUUAAUGGUGUAGCAUAUAACCGCAUUAUGGUGUGACGUGAGCGUAGUAACCCUAUAUGAGUGUUUAAUUCAUAUAGGGGGUAUGGACACAUAUUUAUACACCCGUCUGUCCACCUUAAUGGCAUAGUGUAGCACCGCAUUAAGGCGUGACGUGAGCAUUGGACGCGAGCGUAGUAGCUCUAUAUAGACCCAUGAAUUUAUAUAGGGAGCAUGGACGUGUGUAAACACAUACAUAUAUUA